rnacentral:rRNA from 1 species
CGCGUAGGCGGCGGGGUAAGUCGGGUGUGAAAUCUCAGGGCUCAACCCUGAAACUGCACUCGAUACUGCUCUGCUUGAGGACUGGAGAGGAGACUGGAAUUCACGGUGUAGCAGUGAAAUGCGUAGAUAUCGUGAGGAAGACCAGUGGCGAAGGCGGGUCUCUGGACAGUUCCUGACGCUGAGGCGCGAAGGCCAGGGAGCAAAC